rnacentral:rRNA from 1 species
UACAGAGGGUGCAAGCGUUGUUCGGAAUUAUUGGGCGUAAAGCGCGUGUAGGCGGCAUUGCAAGUCGGGUGUGAAAGCCCUCGGCGUCAAACCGGAGGAAGUGCGCCCGAAACUGCAGUGCUUGAGUACCGGAGAGGGUGACGGAAUUCCCCAAGUAGAGGUGAAAUUCGCAGAUAUGGGGAGGAACACCGGGUGGCGAAGGCGGUCACCUGGACGGAUACGUGACGCUGAGACGCGAAAGCGUGGGGAGCAACAGGAUUAGACUACCCGA